AUUACGUGUUGAUUGUUGUCUAACGAAUUAGGCAGUUAUUAGACCAUGUUUGUCCAUGCUACUGGAUAGUGUUUUUGUGGUUUUUAUUUAAUUACAACAAAAAAAUUGUCAAGUAAAUACGUGCUAUCAAAAGUUACUCAAAAGGUAGCCAUCAAAUCUCGAUCAAAUUUAAAAAAGACUACAUGACAAUCAUUAGCUUUCAAUUAAAGUAAGAAUCAUCAAAAUCGAUACACCCAGUGAAAAGUUAUGCCGUUUAAUACAACAUAG
rnacentral:misc_RNA from 1 species